CUCAGUGCUUACCCAGUGCCUGGCUCAUGGUGGAUGUUCAGUGAGCAUGUGUCAGAAGAAGACAUUAUGCUGUGAGCUCUCUGAAGCUUGUGAGCUGGCCCCAGGGAAUGCAAGUCCAACUGUCUUUGGUGUUGGAGGUAACUGAACACCAAGUCCUGGCCAGUCUCUCCCGGAUGCUGUGCACUGUGUUCUCAGGGAGGCAGGAGGACUCGCAGCGGAUGCCAGGGACACGUGCCCAUUUCUUCCUCCCACGUCAGCCUCCCCUUUUCCGGCCACAUUUCAAACAAGUCUCAAAAGCCUGACCAUGCCAUGUAGCUUUUCCAAACUCACCUUGAGUAAACACACAGCUGCUGCCUCUCACCCACUGAGCUCAAAUCUAUCAUCAUUUUUGUAUUGUGCACUCAUGUAUGGUUUGGCUGCAUGCAACAAGGUGCCGAUCUGCCUCUUCAUGGAAGCAUCGAGGGUCUUGGACCGUGAACUGCUGUGGUGAGACGACGAGAAGGGGACAUUGGGAUUUAGCAGUUGGCACAAGGCCUCCUGGAGCAAUUCCAGGACCCCUCUGGGGAGUUACAAUGGUGGUGACAGGGAAGAUUUACCAUCUGGGACUGUGCUAGGUGCCAAGCGAAGCAGAGCUUGUCAGGUUCCUGGAACCGAGUAUUAACGAUUCCAAUCAAGCAGGAAAUGUCUGUGCCUGUUCUUUGCUAAGCUGGAUUCCUCGCUCACUAGGCAUCAAGGUGCCUGCGGAGUACGCUAGGCAUGAGAAAGGUCUCGGGAGGCCGAGAGUGCCUGGCCUGCCCUCUGGCCCCACCCCAGGUCACGCUUGGGGUCCCUGUAGGCUGCUCACUGAAUAUGAAGAACUGAAGCUUUCCUCAAGAUAACCUUUAGGAAAACUAACAGCUUCAAAGAGAAGAACCAAGAUAAGCAACCCAAGGUUGGUUCCCAGGGAAAGGAGAGACGAUUCAAGAUGUGGACGUCUCAGAGCGCCAUGUCAGCACAUUGCUUCCAAGAAACAACAGUAGGUUGACCCAGUAAAGGUGCAGAGAACAAGAGUUCUUGAAGAUUAUUGGUUAGACUGAAAAUUGAAACGUGACAUGAUUUUGAGUAUUUACUGGAGUAUAAGAAAAAAGAACCCAUGUGACUUUGAUGCUUGGAACUGAUUUAGUACCAGUGAAUUAUAUUUAUUUCUCCAAUCACACUACUUAGUUCUGCAAUGACUAAUAUUUAUAUAAUUAAAAUAAUGUAAAUAUUGUUUCUUCGGUUGCAAUUUUUAGAAUCAACUUCUGGCAGAGCACCAAAGACCUAAUUAAUUUACAAAACAGAAUGCAAACAUUAUAAUAUGGGUGCUGUGAAAGUAACAGUAGCAUUAAUAGCAGUCGGGCAAAGAUGGGGAGAAGGGUAGGGUGAGGAAGGAAUAGCAAGAUCCUCAUGUUGCCCAGGGGAGGCUCAAGAGGAACGGUCUCCUGUUAAUGGAAAAAGAAACAGCAAAGUUAUAAAGGGAAACAAACCAAUGGGAAAAACUAUUAAUAUAUGUUGAUGAAAGACAAGUCUUAGAGGGUUGCGGAGGAAAGAGUGUAAGAAAACAGCCUGUUGCAAGGCAAGAGUAAUGCCACCUGAAGUGAAAUCACCAUCAGGAUCGAUGUUUGACUCCUGAAUACCAAGGUGUUCCUGCAGUCAGGCCAAGAAACAAUUCCUGUAGCAUAGAUAACCCCUUAUAAAGAUGCUUAUCUAACUUUCCCAGUGGUCACACACUUUGUGGGAGGGUCUGAGACGUGACCAACUGUACAUGUUUUACCAAAAGCAGCUUGCUAUAUAAAGACUACUUUCUGGAGGGCAAGUAUAGGAAUCAACCGUCUCUUGGCCACCAG
rnacentral:lncRNA from 10 species